UAAAUAUGGCUUUGUUUUAAUGGACUGAUGUUGCAACUCUGUUCACCAGUUACAUUCAAAGCAUGUGUGCGCUGAUGAUGGAACCUGAUUGGAUGCCAUGAUCCUGAAUGAUACAUAUAUAAAUACAUCGAGUUUUUAAGUUAUGUUAGAUGAAUGGCUUGUUGCUGUUUUGAUGGACAAAGCUGAAGAAUGAAGAGGUUUAUUGUUGCAUUGGUGUUUCUGGCUGUGGGUUCCUCUGCACCUGUGGAGCAAGUCAGUGAGAGAGAUAAUGUGCCAACUUUUGAAGCGGAGCAGAGGCCCUUGGGUCCACCAUUGGCUCAAAUAGUACCAGGAACUCGGACCAUCUACUACCCCAUUCAGUCUGACUAUCUAUUAUCUGGAUUAGGUGGAUUGGGUGGAUUAGGAGGAUUAGGUGGAAUAGGUGGAUUCCCGAUUACCAAUUCACUGUAUCCUAAUUACCAAUGCUACCCAUUCUACCCAUACUGUGGUGUAUACACCGUGCCACCUAUCAUCAUCUCCGUGCCACAAGCAGCUGUCUGACCCAGCAGGUCCUUCCAUCACUCUAUAUGAACUAGGGGAGGGCGGAUCGAUUUAAUAUAUCGAUAGUAUCGAUGCUAACAUAGGUAUUGGGUAUUGAUUGAUACUUGUGUGAUGAAAUCAAUGCUUACGUUUCCGUUUCUCUUUUGUACAACUAAUUUACAGGCAUUUACAGAGUGACCGACUGUCCAUACAACACUAUAUUCUCACUUCACUCAUGCUCAAUUAGCCCCUCCCCUUUCCGCCCCGCCCCCAUAGCAUUAGAAAGGUGUGUAAUGUCAUUUUUCAGUGUAAUUGAUCAUCCCAGUAAUUUAGCAGACUGAUUAAUAGACUAUUCAGACAGUCACAUAGGGAAUAUAUUCAGCCAGUUCAAAUAGAACUAAAUGAAUUAUUUCACUGAAACUGAAAAAUAGAUAUGCUACAAAAAGAUAUAGCUAUGCCUCAAACCUGAACUAUGAAUAUGGCUGAAUAAAUAUUUUAUGUUAACUGUCAAAGGAAUAUUAAUGAAAAAAGUUUAAUUGCAAGUGCAGAUGACCACCCCAAAAGUUUUCUAUAAACAUUUCUGAGUAACUUAAUAAAAAUAUUUUUAUUUGCCUGAAAA